AUGCACCGCAGUGACAUCAGACGCAGCCGGCUCUCCUCCGACAGCUGCUCCUCCUCCCGGGGCUCCUGCCUGGCCCCGGGGACCCACCUGCCCUGCCAGGCUCUGCCUUGCGCAUCUCCCCGGGGCACAACACCCACCUCGAGGGGGGCCUCGAGGUCCUGGGGCAUCAGAGGGGCACAGGUGCAGGUGACAGAGGGACAGAGCAAGGCACUGGAGCAAGACAGCAAGAAGGCAAGCGCAGGGAUGAUCUUUGGAGGUGCAGGCACACACAGCCAGUUGUGGUGGAGCACGGGGCCUGUGCAGAGCUGGUGGACAAGGAGGCAAAGGUCUGGCAGUGUCAAGAUGCAAGUGCAGAGGCAGCAUCCCCAGGGACACAGCCACAGGCGUCCUGGCAGGAUGGCAUGGCGCUCUUUGGUGCUGCUGCCCUUUCUCCUGGCAACAGUUUCAGGCAACACAGUUCCCUUCAUCAACACCACCAUCGUCCACGUGCCUGAGGACCUGCAGCUGGGCCAGUUUGCUUUCCAGCUGGUAGCUUAUGACAUAGACAAGGACCCUCUCACCUACCAAAUCGGAGGGACAGACGCCCUCUACUUCUCUGUCAACUCCAGCUCAGGCGAAGUGACACUGAAGAACUCCCUGGACCGUGAGGUGUGGGCAGAGGAUGGGGUCAGAUGUCCCUGCCUGAGUGGGGGUAUGGGGAUGGAGGGCAGAGCCUGUGGGUCACUCCCUGGCCCCAAAACCCAGGUCCUGGAGGGAGAGUUGUCCUCACAGAGGUUGAGGGUCGACUCUCCAAGGACUGAGCUCCACCUUGGCCCUGACCAAGUCCUGCCUUGUGUCCCCUCAGGUCCAGGCCAGGCUCACCAUCACCGCCAUAGUGUCUGA
rnacentral:lncRNA from 1 species